UGACUGACCGAUAGUGAACCAGUACCGUGAGGGAAAGGCGAAAAGAACCCCGGCGAGGGGAGUGAAAAAGAACCUGAAACCGUGUACGUACAAGCAGUGGGAGCCUCUUUAUGGGGUGACUGCGUACCUUUUGUAUAAUGGGUCAGCGACUUAUAUUCUGUAGCAAGGUUAACCGAAUAGGGGAGCCGAAGGGAAACCGAGUCUUAACUGGGCGUUAAGUUGCAGGGUAUAGACCCGAAACCCGGUGAUCUAGCCAUGGGCAGGUUGAAGGUUGGGUAACACUAACUGGAGGACCGAACCGACUAAUGUUGAAAAAUUAGCGGAUGACUUGUGGCUGGGGGUGAAAGGCCAAUCAAACCGGGAGAUAGCUGGUUCUCCCCGAAAGCUAUUUAGGUAGCGCCUCGUGAACUCAUCUCCGGGGGUAGAGCACUGUUUCGGCAAGGGGGUCAUCCCGACUUACCAACCCGAUGCAAACUGCGAAUACCGGAGAAUGUUAUCACGGGAGACACACGGCGGGUGCUAACGUCCGUCGUGAAGAGGGAAACAACCCAGACCGCCAGCUAAGGUCCCAAAGUCAUGGUUAAGUGGGAAACGAUGUGGGAAGGCCCAGACAGCCAGGAUGUUGGCUUAGAAGCAGCCAUCAUUUAAAGAAAGCGUAAUAGCUCACUGGUCGAGUCGGCCUGCGCGGAAGAUGUAACGGGGCUAAACCAUGCACCGAAGCUGCGGCAGCGACACUAUGUGUUGUUGGGUAGGGGAGCGUUCUGUAAGCCUGCGAAGGUGUGCUGUGAGGCAUGCUGGAGGUAUCAGAAGUGCGAAUGCUGACAUAAGUAACGAUAAAGCGGGUGAAAAGCCCGCUCGCCGGAAGACCAAGGGUUCCUGUCCAACGUUAAUCGGGGCAGGGUGAGUCGACCCCUAAGGCGAGGCCGAAAGGCGUAGUCGAUGGGAAACAGGUUAAUAUUCCUGUACUUGGUGUUACUGCGAAGGGGGGACGGAGAAGGCUAUGUUGGCCGGGCGACGGUUGUCCCGGUUUAAGCGUGUAGGCUGGUUUUCCAGGCAAAUCCGGAAAAUCAAGGCUGAGGCGUGAUGACGAGGCACUACGGUGCUGAAGCAACAAAUGCCCUGCUUCCAGGAAAAGCCUCUAAGCAUCAGGUAACAUCAAAUCGUACCCCAAACCGACACAGGUGGUCAGGUAGAGAAUACCAAGGCGCUUGAGAGAACUCGGGUGAAGGAACUAGGCAAAAUGGUGCCGUAACUUCGGGAGAAGGCACGCUGAUAUGUAGGUGAAGUCCCUCGCGGAUGGAGCUGAAAUCAGUCGAAGAUACCAGCUGGCUGCAACUGUUUAUUAAAAACACAGCACUGUGCAAACACGAAAGUGGACGUAUACGGUGUGACGCCUGCCCGGUGCCGGAAGGUUAAUUGAUGGGGUCAGCGCAAGCGAAGCUCUUGAUCGAAGCCCCGGUAAACGGCGGCCGUAACUAUAACGGUCCUAAGGUAGCGAAAUUCCUUGUCGGGUAAGUUCCGACCUGCACGAAUGGCGUAAUGAUGGCCAGGCUGUCUCCACCCGAGACUCAGUGAAAUUGAACUCGCUGUGAAGAUGCAGUGUACCCGCGGCAAGACGGAAAGACCCCGUGAACCUUUACUAUAGCUUGACACUGAACAUUGAGCCUUGAUGUGUAGGAUAGGUGGGAGGCUUAGAAGUGUGGACGCCAGUCUGCAUGGAGCCGACCUUGAAAUACCACCCUU
rnacentral:rRNA from 1 species